CCUACGGGGUGCAGCAGUCGAGAAUCAUUCACAAUGGGGGAAACCCUGAUGGUGCGACGCCGCGUGGGGGAAUGAAGGUCUUCGGAUUGUAAACCCCUGUCAUGUGGGAGCAAAUUAAAAAGAUAGUACCACAAGAGGAAGAGACGGCUAACUCUGUGCCAGCAGCCGCGGUAAUACAGAGGUCUCAAGCGUUGUUCGGAAUCACUGGGCGUAAAGCGUGCGUAGGCUGUUUCGUAAGUCGUGUGUGAAAGGCGAGGGCUCAACCCACGGACGGCACAUGAUACUGCGAGACUAGAGUAAUGGAGGGGGAACCGGAAGUCUCGGUGUAGCAGUGAAAUGCGUAGAGAUCGAGAGGAACACUCGUGGCGAAGGCGGGUUCCUGGACAUUAACUGACGCUGAGGCACGAAGGCCAGGGGAGCGAAAGGGAUUAGAUACCCUGGUAGUC
rnacentral:rRNA from 1 species